AAUAUUUGACAAUGGGGGGAACCCUGAUCCAGCCAUGCCGCGCGUGUGAAGAAGGUCUUCGGAUUGUAAAGCACUUCAAGAUGGGGGGAAGAGUUGUAGGCUAAUACCUUGCAAUUUUGACGUUACCAACAGAAUAAGCACCGGCUAACUUCCUGCCAGCAGCCGAGGUAAUACGAAGGGUGCAAGCGUUAAUCGGAAUUACUGGGCGUAAAGCGCGCGUAGGUAGUUCGUUAAGUUGGAAGUGAAAGCCCCGAGCUUAACCUGGGAACUGAUUGCAAAACUGGCAAGCUAGAGUAUGGCAGAGGGUGGUGGAAUUUCCUGUGUAGCGGUGAAAUGCGUAGAUAUAGGAAGGAACACCAGUGGCGAAGGCGACCACCUGGGCUAAUACUGACACUGAGGUGCGAAAGCGUGGGGAGCAAACAGG
rnacentral:rRNA from 1 species